rnacentral:lncRNA from 1 species
CUCGAACUCCUGUCCUCAGGUGAUCUGCCCGCCUCGGCCUCCCAAAGUGCUGGGAUCACAGCCGUGAGCACCGUGCCCAGCCAAGUGUGCAUGUUUUCAAUCUCUCCCUGUUCUGAUGCUCAGAGUUGACAACUACACAAACACUGCAACUGGCUUUGCUUUUUGUCCUGAUGGUAUCUCACAAGGCUUCCCUAAUGCAGGCAGUCUUGUUUUCUAGACAAUCUACCAACCCUAGC